rnacentral:rRNA from 1 species
GACGAACGCUGGCGGCGUGCUUAACACAUGCAAGUCGAACGGAAAGGCCCUGCCUUUGUGGGGUGCUCGAGUGGCGAACGGGUGAGUAACACGUGAGUAACCUGCCCUUGACUUUGGGAUAACUUCAGGAAACUGGGGCUAAUACCGGAUAGGAGCUCGUGCUGCAUGGUGGGGGUUGGAAAGUUUCGGCGGUUGGGGAUGGACUCGCGGCUUAUCAGCUUGUUGGUGGGGUAGUGGCUUACCAAGGCGUUGACGGGUAGCCGGCCUGAGAGGGUGACCGGCCACAUUGGGACUGAGAUACGGCCCAGACUCCUACGGGAGGCAGCAGUGGGGAAUAUUGCACAAUGGGCGGAAGCCUGAUGCAGCAACGCCGCGUGCGGGAUGACGGCCUUCGGGUUGUAAACCGCUUUCGCCUGUGACGAAGCGUGAGUGACGGUAAUGGGUAAAGAAACACCGGCUAACUACGUG